rnacentral:rRNA from 1 species
AUUGAACGCUGGAGGCAGGCCUAAUACAUGCAAGUCGAACGAGUGGCGGACGGGUGAGUAAUUUCUGGGAAACUGCCCGAUGGAGGGGGAUAACUACUGGAAACAGUAGCUAAUACCGCAUACCAUCGGAUGUGCCCAGAUGGGAUUAGUUAGUAGGUGGGGUAACGGCUCACCUAGGGGACGAUCCCUAGCUGGUCUGAGUGGAUGACCAGCCAACAUGGAAGUGAGACACAGGCCAGACGCCUGCGGGGGGCAGCAGUGGGGAAUAUUGCGCAAUGGGCGCAAGCCUGAUGCAGCCAUGCCGCGUGUAUGGAGAAGGCCGUCGGGUUGUAAAGUACUUUCAGCGAGGAGGCGUUACUAGCAGGAUGAGCACCGGCUAACUCCGUGCCAGCAGCCGCGGUAAUUC